GAUAGGUGUGCAAGACUGGGUUCCUGUUCUCAGGGACUUUACAUUCUAGUAGUGGAGACAACCAAUAAUCAUUUUUGUCCUCAGAUCCUUCACUCAAUAAACCACAUGCACAAGAAUUCUUAUCACAGACUAUCCUGCUAAGAAUCACAACCUAAGACAAUGGGAAAAAGUCUGGUGUCAUGGAAGGACAGCAAAAGAAACCAGUAUGGUGGAAGCAUAGUGACCAAGGGAGAGAGUCAGGACACAAAUACAUGGAGAAAAAAGGAACAACUGAAGGAAAACUAUACAGCCUAGAUAAAAAGCUUAGAUUUCAUUCAAAGGACAAUGGGAAGCCUUUGGAAGAUGGAUUUAGUAUAUGCUGAUGUCUUUCUACAUCUUUAAGCCUGGAUGCAUCUGGUCUGCAAGGCUGCCCCUCCUACACAUGGAGCUGCCUGGAAGUCUUUGCUACAUGAUUGCUGCCCCAAAACUGCCCUCAACAAUGAGGGAUGGAAUUGGUGGAUAAAUUCCCCAGCUGCCUCCGCCCUCAGAGGGACAAUUCUACAGUAUAUGUAUCAUCAUGAAAUAUGUUGUCAAGAUUAAGGAGGUUUCACUGCAAUGGAUUGUAAGAGCACUGGAGCAGCUGAUACACUGAGGUGCCAUUAAAAAUUCUAUCACCACUGAAGGAUACUCUCAAUGCAGGCAAGAUUGCUUUGGGUCUUUGUGGAAUCCUGGAAUUAGAAGAAGUCUUGAAAGACCAUUCUGAUGGUAUUGGCUUUCCAUCAAUAUUUGUGAAGUUGAAUUAAAAAGUAUUCAAUAUGAGAAAUAGACAGAAAAUAUGCAA